AGGUAAAUAAUAUAAAGCUUCUAACUUUAUUAAAGCCUUUAUUAGGCUUUUACCUU
rnacentral:tRNA from 1 species